CCUCCGAAGUUUCCCUCAGGAUAGGUGGUACAUUUAAAAAUUAUGUAAAAUAGUCUUAUAUGGUAAAGCGAAUGAUUAGAGGCCUUAGGACCGAAACGACCUUAACCUAUUCUCAAACUUUAAGUGGGUAAGAACCACACCUUUCUUGGUAUGCAAUUGUGGUUGUGAUAUAAUGUGCCCAGUGGGCUACUUUUGGUAAGCAGAACUGGCGCUGUUGGAUGAACCAAACGUAAUGUUACGGUGCCCUGCCAAUACCAAAUUUGAAACAAUUCCGUCAAAUACCGAAUAUCGGGAGG
rnacentral:ncRNA from 1 species